GGGGGGAGCGCAGGAUCCUGGGCUAUGUCCCCCGACGCCCUGGGAUCCGGGGCCCGUGCCGCUGGAAUCACGCUCCCAGGGCGCGUAGCCCCCU
rnacentral:pre_miRNA from 1 species